CCUGACAGGCUUCACUAUCGCCCACAGAGAUCAUCGCUGUGCUCAGGCGGUUGUGUCGAUCCAACUGGAAACAGAAGCCGAAACCAUGGCGGAGAAGACUCAAAAGAGUGUGAAGAUCGCACCUGGAGCAGUUGUGUGUGUAGAGAGCGAAAUCAGAGGUGAUGUCACUAUAGAUUUGAAAGAGCAGGUCCUGUUCUUGCAGAAGCUUCCCUAGAAGAGCAGUAAAGGCUUUAUCCUGUGAAAAGAAGAGCUGGACCGAUGCUAAAUCAAGUAUUUGGUUUAUCAAAGAAACUCGUCUGAAGCUUUGAAGUGCAGUCCUUAACCAGAAACCCUAUGUCUGUGGCCCUGCUGGAACCUGACCCCUUUCAUUAGAGUCUGCUAGGAAACAGACCUUGGGAAAAAUAACAGUUCUCUCCUUAAUUAUAAUUUGGGUAAAUAAGGUUUCAUCUUAUUUACUAUCAAGCCUGCUUUUUUUUUUUUUUAACCCCUCUUUUAAUUAGACUGCCUUGAUUUAUGCCUUUUGCAUUAUUUUCUGAAAAUUUUGUUUUAAAAGCUGAAACACAUUUUAGAAAAGUACAUCUGUGCACAGUCAUGUAGUCCUAUUACAGCGUGAAGGCGGACUCCUGGGGUUAGGACAACACCUGGGGACUCAUGGUGUGAAGGCAGAACUCCUACAGUGACGGAGCUUUGUCAUGGAAGCACUUUGUCCCACUUUGUUGUUCUUUCCAUUAGAGUUUUUAAUACUGAUCAGAAGCUUCCCUUUUAUUGUGGAAAUUUUUUUAAAUUGAGGUAACAUUGGUUUAUAAUAUUACAUAAGUUUCAUAUGUACAACAUUAUAUGGAAAUUUUUUUCAAUAAGGCAAAACAGUGACUUUGACUUGAGAAAUUAAUCAAAUAUAAAACAGUUGUUAAAAGUACUUCAUCUUAUAGGUCAAAGGAAUUGUUUUCAUUUUCAAGAGACCUUGUGGCUUUUGGAACUAUUUAUUGACAUAUGAAAAUGUCCACAAAGAUUGCUUUCUGUGGCAAAGAUAGACAGGAAAAAUACCCUUUACUAGCUGAAGGGAAUGGAAAUAUGAUGCAAGGAAUGUCUUUCUGGCUAGGUUGCGUCAAGCCCAGCCAACCAUUUAGAAAAAUAAUUCAUCAGCCAGUAAGGCAGCUCCAACUCUAGACACAUUUAUCCAAACAAGGAGAUAAGCCAAAUAGGGUUUCAGCACAUUUGGUAAGAAAAUACACAAACUACCCUGCCAGAAAGGGCUCCAAGAAAGUUCACGACAGCCUUUUAACAGAAACUUUCGAUGGUGACAGAUUUUUAUUUUUAAAGCAUUUUAACCCCAAGGCCCUUCAGCUUGGUUUGAAUUCAGACCCAUCCUAGGUGAAAGUGCCACUUGCAUGCAGAGAAGUCUGGAGCAGACUGUGCUCACAUCUCAGCAUGCGGUUGCUGCCCGCGUCUUGCACUAGUGCUGGGCUAUCAGGCUUUCUGGUGCCAGCCUCCAGUGCUGUGCAGAGACAAAGCACUUGGUCAGGCGUCUCCUUUAAGAAGUUCACCAAACUUCAGUCUUAGCAGUCACGUAUACUGCGGUUCAUGUUUAAAAACUAACCUCUCUAGUCUCUGCCCCAAAAAGCCCUGCAAGAGGUUAAGGGGAGCUGUUUGGUUUGUCGCCCAUGACCUUGCUGUUACUUCACAAUUCAGAGGAGAUCACAUUGCCAACAGUCAAUGGCUCAUGGAGAAAGCAAGGGAGU